rnacentral:rRNA from 1 species
GCGAAAUUCCUUGUCGGGUAAGUUCCGACCCGCACGAAUGGCGUAACGACUUGAGCGCUGUCUCAACGAUAGACUCGGCGAAAUUGUAGCAUGCGUGAAGAUGCGCAUUACCCACCGCAGGACGGAAAGACCCCGUGGAGCUUUACUACACCCUAACGUUGCCGCUUUGUACUGUUUGUAGAGCGUAGGUGGGAGUCGGUUCGCCGACGCCAAUGGAACACCACCCUGGCAGUAUGGAGCGGCUAACCCGGCACCGUGAUCCGGUGCGGGAACCGCGUUAGGCGGGUAGUUUGACUGGGGCGGUCG